rnacentral:rRNA from 1 species
UACGGGGGGAGCAAGCGUUGUUCGGAUUUACUGGGCGUAAAGGGCGCGUAGGCGGCCAGCACAAGUCAGUUGUGAAAUCUCCGGGCUUAACUCGGAAAGGUCAACUGAUACUGUGCGGCUAGAGUGCGGAAGGGGCAACUGGAAUUCUCGGUGUAGCGGUGAAAUGCGUAGAUAUCGAGAGGAACACCUGCGGCGAAGGCGGGUUGCUGGGCCGACACGUGACGCUGAUGCGCGAAAGCGUGGGGAGCAAACAGG